ensembl:lncRNA
CGACGGUGUCUGGUUUCGGCGUGGCGGUAUCAUGCAGCCUUCAGGACACGGCCGUUCGCAGGAGACCUUGACGGAGAGACGACAGCCUGGCGAUGGCAGGAACUUCCCGGAUAGCCAGGCGGCCUUCCUUGGCGCUUCGUGUGGAUCCUCCUCAGCGGGCAUCCGAGAGCUGAGUCGAAGGCUACAACCCGCAGAGGGGAUGAAAGCGGGGUGCCGGGCCGGGACAUGUGCCCUGGGAUUUUUGAGUCAGCUUUGGGGAUGGGGAGGUCCAGGCUGUGGCCCCUUAGGCCACACGGUGGGAGAGCCUCACUUUUGUUCACAGUGCUGAGGUGUGCAGGACAGAGCAGCCUCGGGGCGCAUCGUGUCACUUGUCCGUCGUGCCUUCUGUGUCUUUUGUGCCUCUUGUGUUGUACGUGCCUUGCCCUAUCUCUUCUGGGGGCUUACCAGAAACCCCAGCGUCGCUUAUAGCAUCUCCAAUCUCUGGGCCCCUCGGCUCGGCAGCUCUCAGGGGCCUUGGAAUCGCGUCUCUUUUGACAAGCAUCCGAUCGGAUGUCUUUUAGACGUCUUGCUCCGAGCUGUGUCAACAGCCGUGCGCCGCGAGGAUCCAUUGUAGCGGCUUAGGACUUGAAGAAACGCAAAGAUAGGUAGAGGAUUGCGGCCGUAAGAUUCUUGGGCAUCCAUCCUGGCGGUUCCUGGAGUUUGUCAUUCCGUCAGCAUCUUCUUCCUCCCGGGUUCUGUGAGCUUCAUCAGCUCGCCUUCGUUCUCACCCGGCUCAUCUCGUUCCGCAUUCUCUCAGUGCUUGCGGUCGUUCUUGUGGCCCAGAGUUUUGUCUCCCCAUUGUGUCCCCUCGUCUGUUGUCUGGUGUGUCACGGGUGUCUGGGUGUAGUUGUCCCGGAGCUGCUCUGCCCUGCUGCCCAGCCUGGCUGUAGGUGUAAAAGGCCAAGUCCCAGGCCCCCGUAAUUUGAAAUCUGUGAUGUAGGGUAUAGUUGGGGUCUAGAACAUAUCCCUAGAUCAACACAAGAUGUCUGGAGCUGUGAAGUUACCCUGCAGCACUUUAACUUUUGUCUCAGCUUUCUUUCAGAUGCGGAUGGAUGAAAUCAGUGGCAGAGAGUCCCAUCCAGGGUAAGGGGGUUCCCCCGAGAAGGUAAGUCAAUGUUUGUCUUUGCAGGGCAACUGGAACCGGUCACUGUGUUACAGGUCUCCUCUUUGUCUUUAUUUUUAGGAAAUAGAGCCGGCUAGCAGCAGUCAAGGUGAAGUGGGCAAGGUGAGCGUUGAGCGGUGGAGGGAGGCUGUUGUUAUCGCUGGGCUCUCAGUUUCUGGUGCAACGC